UAUCUUGUUGACUAAUAGGUAAGUCCUAAAUUUUUGGUAUUUAUAUAUGAGUGUUCGAAUCACUCCAAGAUAA
rnacentral:tRNA from 2 species